GAUGAAGGACGCAGCGAAAUGCGAUAAGUAAUGCGAAUUGCAGAAUUCAGUGAGUCAUCGAAUCUUUGAACGCACAUUGCGCCCUGUGGUAUUCCGCAGGGCAUGCCUGUUCGAGCGUCAUUUCAACCCUCAAGCUCUGCUUGGUGUUGGGCCCUGCCCGCUGCGGCCGGCCCUAAAGACAGUGGCGGUGCCGCCUGGCCCUGAGCGUAGUACAUCUCUCGCUCCAGUGCCCGGUGGUAGCCUGCCAGAACCCCAACUCUCGUGGUUGACCUCGGAUCAGGUAGGGAUACCCGCUGAACUUAAGCAUAUCAAUAAGCGGAGGA
rnacentral:misc_RNA from 1 species